AAGGCCAUAAAUAGUCCCUUAUCUAUGGGAGUAGGUCUAAAAUGGUCCCUUAUCUAUACAUUUACCGAUUUUAGUCCUUUAACUAUCCAAAAACUUAUCAAAUUUGGUCUCCGUCUAUUUUUUUUAUACAAACAGCGUACAAACUCAUAAACCUUCGUGAGAUUAAUCGUUAAACCAUUCCUCAGACCUAUAUUUCUCUCUCCCUGCUUCUUUUUCCUCAAGUUCCUCUUGUUUUAAAAAAAAAAAAAAAAAGAGCAUUCUGGCACUGGUGUCGCUCUCGAGUCUCUAAAAUUCGAAAAGACAAACUCAGGCACAAAAUUUCUGUAACCAUUCUUCUCAAACACUACUAAAAAACUGGUAAAAACCGAUAGCAAAAAUCGACGGAAAUACCGACGGAUUCCGUCGGUUUUUUCAAUAAUUUUUUUAAAUCUUUUUUUUUUUAAGAAAACCGACGGACUGUGUCUGUUAUUUUUUGCACAAAAAUGCGCGAAAAAAUAUAAUUAUUUUCUAAAAUAAACCAAUGGAGUCCGUCGAUUUUUUAUUUUUUAUUUUUUAUUAUAAAAAACCGACGGAGACAGACUCCGUCGAUUUUUAGAGCGAAAAACAGUAAAAAUUAAAUCAAUGUAAGUAUAUGAACAAAAAAUAUCAGUGUUCUAGUGGUAAAGCCCUUUAAUGCCAAGGAACAUACCCGGGUUCGAUUCCAAGUUCCUACAUUUCAUUCUUUAAUUUUCAAAAAAAAAAAAAAAAAAACGUGAGACCUCCGUCGGUUACAAAACGCGAGAGAGAACUUGAGGAAGAAAAAGCAGGGAGAGAGAAAUAUAGGUCUGAGUAAUGGUUUAACGAUUAAUCUCACGAAGGUUUAUGAGUUUGUACGCUGUUUGUAUAAAAAAAUAGACGGAGAUCAAAUUUGAUAAGUUUUUGGAUAGUUAAAGGACUAAAACCGGUAAGUGUAUAGUUAAGGGACCAUUUUAGACCUACUCCCAUAGAUAAGGGACUAUUUAUGGCCUUUUCUC